rnacentral:misc_RNA from 1 species
UCCGGUUUGUCACCGGCAGUCUCAUUAGAGUGCCCAACUGAAUGUAGCAACUAAUGACAAGGGUUGCGCUCGUUGCGGGACUUAACCCAACGUCUCACGACACGAGCUGACGACAGCCAUGCAGCACCUGUGUCCAGGCUCUCUUUCUAGCCCGGGUAAGGUUCUGCGCGUUGCGUCGAAUUAAACCACAUCAUCCACCGCUUGUGCGGGCCCCCGUCAAUUCCUUUGAGUUUUAAUCUUGCGACCGUACUCCCCAGGCGGAUGACUUCACGCGUUAGCUGCGUUACUAAAGGAUUUAACUCCUCCAACAACUAGUCAUCAUCGUUUAGGGCGUGGACUAC